rnacentral:rRNA from 1 species
GACGAACGCUGGCGGCGUGCUUAACACAUGCAAGUCGAACGGAAAGGCCCUGCUUUUGUGGGGUGCUCGAGUGGCGAACGGGUGAGUAACACGUGAGUAACCUGCCCUUGACUUUGGGAUAACUUCAGGAAACUGGGGCUAAUACCGGAUAGGAGCUCCUGCUGCAUGGUGGGGGUUGGAAAGUUUCGGCGGUUGGGGAUGGACUCGCGGCUUAUCAGCUUGUUGGUGGGGUAGUGGCUUACCAAGGCUUUGACGGGUAGCCGGCCUGAGAGGGUGACCGGCCACAUUGGGACUGAGAUACGGCCCAGACUCCAACGGGAGGCAGCAGUGGGAAAUAUUGCACAAUGGGAGGAAGCCUGAUGCAGAAACGCCGCGUGCGGGAUGACGGCCUUCGGGUUGUAAACCGCUUUCGCCUGUGACGAAGCGUGAGUGACGGUAAUGGGUAAAGAAGCACCGGCUAACUACGUG